UCCCGUCCAUCAGUUUUGAGGGGGAAAAAAGCAGACUGACAAAUGCACCUUAUCAGGAUUGGAUUUCCACGUAGAAGGACGAGAAUGAAGAAGUAAGAGCCAUGACUAUAGUUGCCGAGGCACCUCCCUCUUGUCCCGUGGCUUCACCGUGUCCUUUAUGGAUAUCCAAACGCAGCAGCCCAAGAAGAAGAAGAAGCUCCUUCAGAGGCCGAAGCAGUAGCCUCCAAAGACUGAAACUACCACCUCAAGCUGCUCUGGUCGAGGCCUCCGUCAUCCCUGCGCUUAGUGAUGGGUUCUCUUCUUUCAAGGUCCGUGCACUUCCAGCGGACCGAGGUAAUAAUGACUUGCAGGCCAAGGCCAGAGCCAUGGCACCUUCUGCCCAUGCUUCUGUCAGUAGCACUCAGCUCCUUGCCGAUAAAUAUGAGUCUCAAGCAUUCCAGGUGUUAGGAGGGUCCGUGCAAAUUCUUUCUGAUCCUGCAUACAAGCUUCUCCAACACCAUCCAUUGUUGGACCUCCUCUCUAAAUGCAAAAGCGUGCGAACCUUCAAACAAAUUCACUCGUGCAUUAUCAAGACUGGCAUCUAUGAUACCCCUUUGGCGCAAAGUAAGCUCAUCCAAUUCUGUGCCGUUACGCCUGUUGGCGAUCUCUCUUAUGCUCUCUCACUGUUUGAAUCCAUCGAAAAACCAAACUUGAUCAUGUGGAACACAAUAAUUCGAGGUUACUGGUUGAGUUCCUCUCCAAUUUUGUCUGUACAAGUGUAUGCCCGUAUGAUGAAUUCAGGGGUGGAGCCAAAUUCUUAUACUUUCCCAUUCCUUCUCAAAUCUUGUGCUAAAAUUAGGGCUGUCCGUGAAGGGAAACAAGUACAUGCUCAUAUUUUAAAACUUGGGUUUACAUUCGAUGCUCAUGUGCAUACUUCGCUUAUUACUAUGUAUGCUCAAAUUGGGGACUUGGAUAAUGCUAGGUUGGUUUUUGAUAGUAAUAUUUCACGUGAUGUUGUUUCUUGCACGGCAUUGAUAUCAGGGUAUCUGUUAGAGGGUUAUGUCAAUGAAGCUCGGCACUUAUUUGACAAAAUUCCAGUGAAAGAUGUAGUGUCAUGGAAUGCUAUGAUUGCAGGGUAUGCCCAAAGUGAUCGUUUUGAAGAAGCACUUUCUUGCUUUCAUGAGAUGUUAAAAGCAAAUGUGUUGCCUAAUCAGAGUACUUUGGUGACUGCUCUUUCUUGUUGUGCUCAUUCAGGAUCAUUGGCAUUGGGAAAAUGGAUAAGCUCUUGGAUUAAGGAACAUGGGCUUAGUUCAAAUCUUCAGUUGACUAAUGCUCUUAUUGAUAUGUAUUCAAAGUGUGGUGAGAUUGAUACUGCUCGAGAAUUAUUUGAUGGGAUAGUUGGAAGAGAUGUGAUUUCUUGGAAUGUUAUGAUUGGUGGUUAUUCUCAUAUGAAUCUAUACAAAGAAGCGUUGUCCCUUUUUCAUCUCAUGCUUAGAUCAAACAUAAAGCCCAAUGACAUUACUUUUUUGGCCAUUCUUCCUGCAUGUACUCACUUGGGUGCUCUUGACCUUGGCAAGUGGAUUCAUGCAUAUAUAGAUAAAAACUUUAAGAACAUAAGCAAUGUUUCUCUUCAAACAAGUCUCAUUGACAUGUAUGCGAAAUGCGGUUGCAUUGAGAUGGCAGAACAAGUGUUUAAAAGCAUGAAUUAUCGAAGUGUUGCCACAUGGAAUGCAAUGAUAUCAGGUUUAGCCAUGCAUGGACAUGCAGAGAAGGCUCUAGGGCUUUUCUCUAAAACGGCCAAUAAGGAAUUCCAACCUGAUGACAUCACAUUUGUUGGAGUUUUAUCUGCUUGUAGCCAAGGUGGUCUGGUAGAUCUUGGACGCCAACAUUUUGAAUCAAUGGUCCAAAACUAUAAGAUUGUACCAAAGCUUCAACACUAUGGAUGCAUGAUAGAUCUCCUAGCUAGAGCAAGGAAAUUCGAUGAAGCAAAGGAUCUGAUUAAAAAUAUGGGAGUGGAGCCAGAUGGAGCUAUCUGGGGUUCUCUGCUUAAUGCAUGUAGAGUUCAUGGACAUAUUGAGUUAGGUGAAUAUGUUGCUGAUCGUCUCUUUGAAUUAGAACCUGAAAAUACAGGAGCAUAUGUGCUUUUAUCAAACAUAUAUGCAGCAGCUGGAAGAUGGGAUGAUGUAGCAAGAAUAAGAACCAGAUUAAAUGACAGAGGAAUGAAGAAAGUUCCUGGUUGCACCUCUAUUGAGAUUGAUAGUUUUGUUCAUGAGUUUCUUGUGGGUGAUAGGAGUCAUCCCCAGAGCGAAAAUAUCUAUAAAAUGUUGAAUGAGAUAGAUAAGCUUUUAGAUGCUUCAGGAUUUGUUCCUAAUACAUCUGAGGUAUUGUAUGACAUGGAUGAGGAGUGGAAGGAAGGGACUUUGAGCCAACAUAGUGAGAAGCUGGCUAUUGCCUUUGCCUUGAUAACCACAGAGCCUGGGACUACAAUUAGAAUUGUGAAGAAUCUUCGGGUUUGUGGAAAUUGCCACUCGGCUACCAAGCUAAUAUCUAAGCUCUUCAAUAGGGAAAUAAUUGCAAGAGAUAGAAACCGUUUUCACCAUUUUAAAGAUGGUGUAUGCUCCUGUAAUGACUAUUGGUGAAAACUUUUCGCUUAGAGGAAUAACAAGUACAGAAAGAGAAUUGGAUAAUUCUGCCUUAUGUAAGUUGAUGACAGGUAUAUUGAACACUCUCUAUCUUAAUUUAUUUCUACAUUCAUUUUGAACUAAAACAAUUGAAGAACUUGGAAGAAAAUUCGGGAGCUUACCUGAAUUGUGUUUUGAGCACCACAACGUUAUUCCAUUUAAUAGAUCAUUUUGUUAUUUGUUCAUUGAUUGAUUGAAUUAUGUCCUAGGGACAAAACAAACUCUACAACUGUACAGCAAUGCAUUCUACUAAGGGAACCUUAUCUUGGUUGAUAUAUGCAUGUGAGUUUUAUCAGUGCCUGUCCUCCAAGCCUAACCUCUACUCGCAUGAGUAUCUAGAGGAGCUUGUUGAACUUAAACUAUUAUUAGCUUAGCUUGAGUGAGAAAUUUGAUUGUUUCAGUAAUUAACAUCUAUUGACUGUAUGGCAAGCUCUUCAUUAAUGCUGAGAAAAUUUGUUUUCUGAUGUAGGGUACUGUGUUGUCCUUUGUUGUGAAUUAUGAUAUAAUGCUACAAAGAUGAAAAAAAAAGUAGAGGAUUUUAAAUAAUUUUCACCUCUUGUAGUUUGCUACGAUGCUUUGCUCAUGUUUCAUAAUGAAGGGGCAAUGAGGACUAUCUCCUGAGUCCAUUUUCUCUUCAAUAACUCCUUUUCCCAUAGCAGUGGCCAUUUUGGGUCUAGUUUAUAAAACUUUUCUGAAUUACUCUGGGAGACUUGUGGGUGUUAAGGUGCAACGGCCUUGGCAUUGAAGAAGCUAUAGGAUUAACCUUCAUUCUGGAAAGAGGCCUAGGAUUUUUAAUAAACAUAUAUAUAGACAUAAUUUUCAAUAAUUUGUUUCUUAUUGAUGAAUUUGCAUAUGGAGCUUUCAAGAGCUCGACUAUGUGCAAGUCAAUUCUUCAAUCACUAGCUCAGUGAUUUCAUUGCAAGAAAACAUGGACCUAUUUCCUAUGGAGAAUAUCAAUACAACCAACUUUUAUUGUUCUUUUCUCAUCAUAUUUCAAAGAUUUUUUUUUUUAAAAUAAACUGAGAAAUACCCGAUGUUCAGCCUCAACAAACCAAUUGUCAGACUUUUCAUCACUUUCACAGUGUCUUUGACAAAGAAUCUAAUGAUUGAAACUUUUUCUGUUUAACAUUGUGAACUUUAAGUUGGAGUGUGCCUAACAUGUUAACUAUUAAACUUAGACUACUUAUUUCUGCAUUUUUUCCUGUAGUCUGACUCUGAUGGUUUGCAAUUUUUUUCCCUGGCUAUCCAUUCAUAUUAUGCAUUAAUAUUGAGGUCUCUUGUUGUUCUCAAAAGCCUUAGCGCUUUAAGCUGAUCCUAAUUUCACAGUGCUUGUUGCUUCAUACCCAUAUUUUGCAUAGAAGCUCCUAACAGAUCCAAACCCUUAUCUUAGAGAUGCUCUUAUUUGCCUUGCUUUUCAAGGAUGGGAGAUUCAGGUAUGCAUUACGCUGCUAUAUCAAAUGUGUACUUUAUUUUUUAUAGGAGGGCAUAUAGCAUGUUUGGUAUAAAUACACUUGAAUGUCCAUUAAUCCAGUCAAGUCCAGGUAGAAGGACAGAGAUUUCACUGCAGGAGAUGCUUUACAACCUGUUCUGAAGGUAUUAUUGAGUCCAGAAGGCGAAGAGCUGGGACUUUGGUUAUUUAAGGCCGCUAGUGUAACUGAGGCCUUUUACCCUGAGCAUUACAUAUGAUUCAUACCAGUUCGUUCCUAACUUUAUGAAGACCCUAGUUUAAAAGGCAAUGCAAAUGGACCCCUCAUGAUCUCAAACGCCUGAAUGAAAAGUUUGUUGGAGCUUAAAGAUCAAGUGCGGAGCGUAUGAAGACAUUACACACCUGCAAUCCUUUGAUGGUGGUGGUCGAUCUCUUUUGCAACCUAUUGUAUAGUUUUGGAAACAUUAGCUGUGGGCCGUGGCUUUUCUUAAGGUGAGGCACUACAAGUGUUGGCAAAUUUUGUGGAUCAUGUACUGCUUGUGUGAAUGGAACAAGGGUAAUGGAUCAUGGGAACGUUUUGUUUUAUGUGGAAUGACCAAGGCAAGCUGAAGCUUGAAGAUUAUUACAUUAGCAAAACAAAAAAGGACCCAAUAAAUUAAACAUAGAAGCGUCUAUCUUCCAACAGAAGCGUCUGCAACCCAUUGGAGGUUCUUGUAUCAGUCAUUUCAUAACCCACAUUAUGAGCAUUUUUGCUAGAAAAUUAGCUCAUUGCAUGCUUUCCCUGUAAGAAAAUUAGCACAUUCAAUGUUCCAGUCUUGGAAGAGCAAUUCUAUGCUCUCUUAUUCCAACUUAGCAAUUUCUGAGAUUUUGAGAAGAGUUGCUAUGCAAAGUAUGAUGAAUGUUUUAAGCUGUGUUUUUGGCCUCUAUGGUAGAAUCAGUCAAAGGACACAGUAGUGGUGGGUUAACCUAUCACUGAUGUCAACGGUUCGAGUCUACUCA